UGGGGAAUCUUGCGCAAUGGGCGAAAGCCUGACGCAGCGACACCGCGUGGGGGACGAAGGCCUUUCAGGUCGUAAACCCCUUUCGGCAGGGACGAAGCGAUCUCGUGACGGUACCUGCAGAAGAAGCCUCGGCUAACUACGUGCCAGCAGCCGCGGUAACACGUAGGAGGCGAGCGUUGUCCGGAAUCAUUGGGCGUAAAGAGCGCGCAGGCGGCUUGGCAAGUCGGGUGUGAAAUCCCGGGGCUCAACCCCGGGACUGCAUUCGAUACUGUCAGGCUAGAGGUAGGUAGGGGAGAUCGGAAUUCCUGGUGUAGCGGUGAAAUGCGCAGAUAUCAGGAGGAACACCGGUGGCGAAGGCGGAUCUCUGGGCCUUACCUGACGCGCAGGCGCGAAAGCUAGGGGAGCGAACAGG
rnacentral:rRNA from 1 species